rnacentral:rRNA from 1 species
GACGAACGCUGGCGGCGUGCUUAACACAUGCAAGUCGAACGGAAAGGCCCUGCUUUUGUGGGGUGCUCGAGUGGCGAACGGGUGAGUAACACGUGAGUAACCUGCCCUUGACUUUGGGAUAACUUCAGGAAACUGGGGCUAAUACCGGAUAGGAGCUCCUGCUGCAUGGUGGGGGUUGGAAAGUUUCGGCGGUUGGGGAUGGACUCGCGGCUUAUCAGCUUGUUGGUGGGGUAGUGGCUUACCAAGGCUUUGACGGGUAGCCGGCCUGAGGGGGUGACCGGCGACAUUGAGACUGAGGGACGGCCCAGACUCGUACGGGAGGCAGCAGUGGGGAAGAUUGCACAAUGGGCGGAAGCCUGAUGAAGAAACGCCGCGGGCGGGAUGACGGCGUUAGGGGUGUAGACCGCUUUCGCCUGUGACGAAGCGUGAGUGACGGGAAGCGGUAAAGAAGCACCCGCUAACUACGUGG